UACGAAGGGGGCUAGCGUUGCUCGGAAUCACUGGGCGUAAAGCGCACGUAGGCGGAUCUUUAAGUCAGGGGUGAAAUCCCAAGGCUCAACCUUGGAACUGCCUUUGAUACUGGGGAUCUCGAGUCCGGAAGAGGUGAGUGGAACUGCGAGUGUAGAGGUGAAAUUCGUAGAUAUUCGCAAGAACACCAGUGGCGAAGGCGGCUCACUGGUCCGGUACUGACGCUGAGGCGCGAAAGCGUGGGUAGCAAACAGG
rnacentral:rRNA from 1 species